AGGGGUGCUGAGGCGCGGGGCGGCGAAGGCCGUUUCGGAGCCGAGGCUGAGAUGAUACCCUCACUACCUGAUCGGGGUAAUGCCCGCGUAGGAAAAAAGCUAUC
rnacentral:ncRNA from 1 species